ACGAACGCUGGCGGCGUGCUUAACACAUGCAAGUCGAACGGAAAGGCCCUGCUUGCAGGGUACUCGAGUGGCGAACGGGUGAGUAACACGUGGGUGAUCUGCCCUGCACUUCGGGAUAAGCCUGGGAAACUGGGUCUAAUACCGGAUAGGAGCCAUUUUUAGUGUGAUGGUUGGAAAGUUUUUUCGGUGUAGGAUGAGCUCGCGGCCUAUCAGCUUGUUGGUGGGGUAAUGGCCUACCAAGGCGGCGACGGGUAGCCGGCCUGAGAGGGUGGACGGCCACAUUGGGACUGAGAUACGGCCCAGACUCCUACGGGAGGCAGCGGUGGGGAAUAUUGCACAAUGGGCGCAAGCCUGAUGCAGCGACGCCGCGUGGGGGAUGACGGCCUUCGGGUUGUAAACUCCUUUUGCUAGGGACGAAGCUUUUUGUGACGGUACCUAGAUAAGAAGCACCGGCUAACUACGUG
rnacentral:rRNA from 1 species